rnacentral:rRNA from 1 species
ACGUGGGUUACCUGCCUCGAUGACCGGGACAACCCGAGGAAACUCGGGCUAAUACCGGAUGUGCCCGCAAGGGGAAAGGAAGCUUCGGCCUCCGCAUCGAGAUGGGCCCGCGGCCCAUUAGCUUGUUGGUGAGGUAACGGCUCACCAAGGCUUCGAUGGGUAGCUGGUCUGAGAGGACGAUCAGCCACACUGGGACUGAGACACGGCCCAGACUCCUACGGGAGGCAGCAGUGGGGAAUCUUGCACAAUGGGGGAAACCCUGAUGCAGCCAUGCCGCGUGUGUGAAGAAGGCCCUUCGGG